rnacentral:rRNA from 1 species
AACGAACGCUGGCGGCAUGCCUAACACAUGCAAGUCGAACGAACCCUUCGGGGUUAGUGGCACACGGGUGCGUAACGCGUGGGAAUCUGCCCCUUGCUUCGGAAUAACAGUUAGAAAUGACUGCUAAUACCGGAUGAUGUCUUCGGACCAAAGAUUUAUCGGCAAGGGAUGAGCCCGCGUAGGAUUAGGUAGUUGGUGGGGUAAAGGCCUACCAAGCCGACGAUCCUUAGCUGGUCUGAGAGGAUGAUCAGCCACACUGGGACUGAGACACGGCCCAGACUCCUACGGGAGGCAGCAGUGGGGAAUAUUGGACAAUGGGGGCAACCCUGAUCCAGCAAUGCCGCGUGAGUGAUGAAGGCCUUCGGGUCGUAAAGCUCUUUUACCAGGGAUGAUAAUGACAGUACCUGGAGAAUAAGCUCCGGCUAACUCCGUGCCAGCCGCCGCAGUAAUAC